rnacentral:rRNA from 1 species
CCUACGGGGGGCAGCAGUGGGGAAUAUUGGACAAUGGGCGCAAGCCUGAUCCAGCCAUACCGCGUGAGUGAAGAAGGCCCUCGGGUUGUAAAGCUCUUUUGUUGGGAAAGAAAUCCUGUCGGUUAAUACCUGGCGGGGAUGACGGUACCCAAAGAAUAAGCACCGGCUAACUUCGUGCCAGCAGCCGCGGUAAUACGAAGGGUGCAAGCGUUACUCGGAAUUACUGGGCGUAAAGCGUGCGUAGGUGGUUGUUUAAGUCUGUCGUGAAAGCCCUGGGCUCAACCUGGGAAUUGCGAUGGAUACUGGGCAACUAGAGUGUGGUAGAGGGUGGCGGAAUUCCCGGUGUAGCAGUGAAAUGCGUAGAGAUCGGGAGGAACAUCCGUGGGGAAGGCGGCCACCUGGGCAAACACUGACACUGAGGCACGAAAGCGUGGGGAGCAAACAGGAUUAGAUACCCUUGUAGUC